AGGAAUUUAGGCUAAACCAGACCAAGAGCCUUCAAAGCUCUAAGUAAGUACACAAUACUUAAUUCCUG
rnacentral:tRNA from 4 species